rnacentral:rRNA from 1 species
UACGUAGGUGGCAAGCGUUGUCCGGAUUUAUUGGGUUUAAAGGGUGCGUAGGCGGCUUAUUAAGUCAGUGGUGAAAGACGGUAGCUUAACUAUCGAGGUGCCAUUGAUACUGAUGAGCUUGAGUACUGAUGAGGUAGGCGGAAUGGACGGUGUAGCGGUGAAAUGCAUAGAUAUCGUCCAGAACACCGAUAGCGAAGGCAGCUUACUAAGGAGUAACUGACGCUGAGGCACGAAAGUGUGGGGAGCAAACAGG